ACGGACAUGCCAGCGCGGCCCGGCCUCAACGGCCUCCGCGCGGAGCUGCGCGACUACGACCAGCCGGAGGUGGAGGCCAUCAGGUGGGAGGCCCUCGGGUCGGGCUUCGCGGAAGACGUCGUCCUGCUCCGCCACGUCGACGGCCGCUACCACCGCGCCAACGGAAGGUACCUCCACUGGAACGCCACCGGCGUCAGCGUCGACGACAGCGUCAGCUCCAUGAUGCACUGGAUCGUCGAGACCACCCCCUUCAGAGAUGCGGGCAUGCCUGCCAUUCCUGGCCCGCUUCCGACUCGCCCAAGAUUCUCCGCCAUAUUCACGCGUCGGGGAGCGGAACGGCAGAUCCGAGGCGUCGAGCCCAUCCCGGGAGAGGAGGGCAUGCCUGCUGCUCAUGGCCCGAAUGGCCCAAGGUUUUCCUCCAUGUUCAGUUCUCUCGGACGGCGCAUCCGGUUCGUGCGGGCGCUCGAGGACGGGUACUACCCCCCUGAGGUCAACAGCUGGCCACGGGAGGCUGACCCCGCUCGUCGUCAACCUGCCCGACGGUGGCUAUGGCGGGACCCUCGAGAUCGUCGUCUUCCUGAUCGGGACCCCUGUGCUGGUGGACAAACGAGCUUACUGAAAGAAGGGGUGUCUGUGAUGCCGCCUCCAGCAACGCAGAGGAGGGGUGUCCCGUCUGGACGUCACAUCAUCUGGCUUCUCCCCAAAAUUGUUGAACUUUUGUACCUAAGGAGACAAAGGGGUGCGUGAACGGGCGAGGAGAUCGCAGCGAUGUACUACCCCAGUUGGUGCACGAUUGAGCCUCGUACUCAACAUAUUCACUACUUGCAUCCCAAUGCCUGGGUCAGGAUAAGCAUGAAAAAAGGAACUUAAAUAGCUCGGUGCUGAUGAGGGGUUCACAAGAGGACAAUACUACAAUUAAAGAAUGUCAGUAGCCUGUUGUGUUGGUGGACAAAUGAGCUUACUUGAAGAAGGGGGGAUCUGAACGUGAUGAAAAGGUUAUUUUGUUCCAUUUUCCUUAUAAGCAUCCAUAUCUUUUGCUCCCUUCGUUGUACCUUCAACAACCAUGUUCAUUGUGUCGGGUUUGUAUCAUUUCCACCUAUCUUCUCACUCUUAAACCAUUUGGCUGGGUCGAUGUUUUAUUAAUAGAUACAAUUGAACUUGCAUCGUAUCUCAAACUAUGUCCCUAAUACGCCAGCCCACCCGUGCGUAUAUUAAGUGAAAACUGGGAUUAUGUCAAGUUUUCAAUGGUAUGAUCGGCUUGUAUCUUGCUGUCAUCGAAGUUAAGACAUGGCUCCGGGGCAGUACAUUUAUGCCUCAGGAUGGAAAUGUUCCUUGGCACCAUGACAAACAUUGGUGGAGUAACAAUCUGUUUUGUUGCUGUCGCUUAUGUAUUUUCGCUGCCACAAAGAUUACUUGGACACAGAGUCACAGUGUGUUAGAAAAUGAUUACAUUUUCCUUUUGUAACCUGAUGGUGUUAGACUGUUAGUAACAUCUCAGCAGUAGGGCGGGAUUAGCUAGCCCUUUCUUGGAUAUGUUUCCCAUAUAGUGUGUGGGGUCGACUAUUCAUACUUG